rnacentral:lncRNA from 12 species
GUUUCAUGAUUUCAUGUCUGUUUAGACUACUUCAGAGGGAGAAAAAAAGACAUGAACAUGUGAAGAGGAAUGCUGAAGAAAGAUGGAUCACAAAGAUUUGUGAUUAUUUCCAGAAUGGUAUUUCAGAAGUGACAAAAGAAGGAUAGGAUAGCAGGAUUAAUGAAGAGCUUCAUGAUCUCCUGCUGUGAUGAAGAGUCCAGGCAGUAGCUGCUGUAAAAGGAGGUGUUCUGGUACCAGCUGAGGAGCAUUUGUGGAGGAGUCAUGGAAGAUUUUGGUCUUUUCAGAGAGAGGAGGUGUUUGGACUGAUUCAAUUUACUUCUGAAGGGAAGAAGUGGCAUAGAUGCCAGGACUUAAGGCAUCCUAGAUUUCUGUAUAACCUAGAGUCAUCUGUAAUUUCCUGCCUCUCUGGGACAGAAGAGUUAUUAUUCAAAGCAGUGUGCCAGUGGUGUCCUGGGGCCCUCUGGGUGUCCUUCAGAUACUGAUAUUCCCAGAUGUUCCUCA